UACGAAGGGUGCAAGCGUUACUCGGAAUUACUGGGCGUAAAGCGUGCGCAGGCGGUUUUGUAAGCCAGAUGUGAAAUCCCCGGGCUCAACCUGGGAAUGGCAUUUGGGACUGCAAGGCUGGAGUUUGGCAGAGGAGACUGGAAUUCCUGGUGUAGCAGUGAAAUGCGUAGAUAUCAGGAGGAACACCGAUGGCGAAGGCAGGUCUCUGGGCUGAAACUGACGCUCAAGCACGAAAGCGUGGGGAGCAAACAGG
rnacentral:rRNA from 1 species